UACGGAGGAUCCAAGCGUUAUCCGGAAUCAUUGGGUUUAAAGGGUCCGUAGGCGGCCCAGUAAGUCAGUGGUGAAAUCUCCCGGCUCAACCGGGAAAUUGCCAUUGAUACUCGCUGGGCUUGAAUUACUGGGAAGUAACUAGAAUAUGUAGUGUAGCGGUGAAAUGCUUAGAGAUUACAUGGAAUACCAAUUGCGAAGGCAGGUUACUACCAGUGGAUUGACGCUGAUGGACGAAAGCGUGGGUACGCGGAACAGG
rnacentral:rRNA from 1 species